AGAUGCUCCAUAUUCACUAUUGGCUGCAAUUAUAAACAUAUAAUAACCUUAAGUUACCCCUCCCACUUCUGUCAAUGACAUUGAUUCAACAUUUGCUUCACCAGAUAUAUGGUGGACUCGUGGAAGAAUUGUCAGAAGGCUCUGGACUGUGGCAGUGUGUUGGCUGUGGCACUAUCGAAAGCUCCUAUCUGUACCAGUAAGGAAUUCUCCUUUCUCGAAUGCAAAAGCUUUGCAUUAUUC